rnacentral:siRNA from 1 species
UGGUGAUAGGUGUUGCGAGUUA